rnacentral:lncRNA from 1 species
UUAACAAGAUUUUGGAAUUGGAGACCAUAAUGAAGACUUGAAUGUGAAAGAAAGUGUCUCUAGUCCAAUUGACAUAGGAUUAAGAGUAGGAGUUGAUGUAGAAUUAGAUGCUGAAGAGAAGCUUAAACCAAAACUGAGGUCACGACAUGAGGAUGUGAAGUCGCGACUAUAUGAUAUGAUGUCACGACAAGAGAAACAAAGACAAAAUCAAGGCAUCCAAGUCAGUACGUCAUGUUGUGAAGAGACAAAUCUUGAUGUUGCGACGAGCUACCUUGAAGUCGUGACAACACUAAUUGAGGCUGCAAUGAGCUCUGAUGUACUAGCCCUGGUAAUUGAAAUCUAGAUACAAGGUCACGAUGAGUAGGAUUUUAAUGUCGUGACAGGGUGACAAAUUUAAAACUCUAUCAUCCCGAUGUUUGCAUUUAAACAGUGUAAGGCCCAAUUUUGGCCUGGGCCCUUGCAAACACAAAACAAACAAAAACCAAAGUGAAAAAUACAGAAAUAAAAACCCAAUAAUUAUUAUUAACAAUCCAUCAGUCUAAAAUUACUACAAUGGCCCAUAGUCCAUUUACAAACAAACCCAGACCCAAAGUUACAAGGCCCAAAUGGCCCAAAAGACUUUAGAAACAGAAACCCUAGGGUUUCUCUCCCUUGCGCCGCAGCCUUCAGCCACCGUACAGCCCCAACGCCGCUCGUGUCUCUCCGUCAACAGGCCGUACGCCAGCCUUACGCCUAGUGCCAGCGCCAUGCUCCCGUACCUGCAAAAAAAAAAAGACAAACAGAGCAGCAGCAAAUGGGAAAUAACGAAAGAAUUGUAUUUUUAUUUUUUUGAUUUUCUUUCUUUUCGGCUAUAAAGCCAAGGUUUUUAAUCUUUUUAACCGGUUACAAAAAACACGAUUUACGCACACAAAAAAAGGAUGCACAAAAAAGCAAUCAAAUAGCAGAGGUGAUUUCUUUUUUCCUCCAAAUCUCUUUAGCUUUCUAUGCAUUGUUUCGUUCUCUGUUUGGGUCAUUCACCAUUGUUAUAAAAAUAUAGAAAGAACGGUGACAGAGGAGCCUUACCGUGCGAGCAGGCCAUGGAUUUCUCCUCCUUUCUUCGUCGAAAUCGAAGUUGAGGAGGGAUUUCGGGCUAAGAUUCCUCCAGACGCAAAGAACCCCACCUGGUGAAGAUGAAUCGGCAUUGGAAGGAGAGAGUUUAAGGCUGACGAUUAGGGAGAGAGGCUAGGGUUCUUGAUUCGGCUGAAUAUGGUCUGGAUUGAGGCUUUUAAAGAAUAAAAAACGGCACCGUUUGGGCCUAUUUCAAUGGCUCCAAAACGGUUCCGUGUGAUUAUGCCCGACUCGAUCCGCCCCCUUUACCCUUGGGAUCCGCGUGUUUCUGUGGGGAGCAAUAAUUGCAACAUAAGUCCUCCUCUUUUGCGCUGUAUUUCAAUCAGCUAUUUUGUAUUUCUUUUGUUUUUUUUAAAUUCACCCUGUAAAUUUGCGCAUGAGUGCAAUUUAAUCCGCGCCUAAACACUGCGUUUUGAGAGCUGGAUUAUUUCCAGUCUAAGUCCUUACGCAUUUG